rnacentral:lncRNA from 1 species
UUUUUUUAAGCACUCACAUCUGAGUUUUACUAACUUCAAGACAGAACAGAUUCCCUAAAGGAGUACUGUUAUGCACCAAGCAUCUGGAAUCCAUAUGGAACUUUUACUUACUCGAUUUACUGAAGGUAUCUUCAGAUAAGAAAAGACAAAAACAAAGAGAAUGGACUGCAGGACCAGGAAGAGUCGUUUAGCAACCCUGGGAAAAGCAUAAGAGACUCGUAUUCUUUGCCCAUAGGGACUUGAGAAUCUAUCAUCCUGCGCCACCUGGUUUUUUAAGCAGUAUUCUUGGCCUUUGUUUUAGUUGGAGUAGAGUGAGGGGAGUCAUCUACAGGUUUUGAGUUACUUCCAUCCCCUUCCUGAAGUUUAAGGGUUCUUGUUUUUUUAUAAUGGAAUGAAGCUGAAACAA